rnacentral:rRNA from 1 species
GCCGGUGUCUAUGACGGUGAGGUCCCACCCGUUCCCAUUCCGAACACGGAAGUUAAGCUCACUCGUGCUGACGAUACUUGGGGGGAAGCCCCCUGGGAAAAUAAGUAGAUGCCGGCA